GGUGAGGUUGAAAGAAUUGUUCAAUGAAGGAGGGGUCGAAGCCAAGCUAAGAUUGAAUGAAGCUGGCAAGCCAUAUGUGACUGAUAACUCCAAUUACAUCGUGGAUUUGUAUUUCGAGAAUCCAAUUCAAGAUGCAUAUGCAGCUGGAAAGGAGAUUUCGGCUUUUGAAGGAGUGGUGGAACAUGGGUUGUUUUUGGAUAUGGCGACUGCGGUGAUUAUUGCUGGGAAGAGUGGAGUGGAGGUCAAGGCCAAGUGAUAUUUUCAAAGGAGGUAGUGACAACUGAAUCUCUUAUCAUCUGCUGCUUUGCUAUUGUUGUUGUUAAUUAUUUUGAUGGUGAUUAGUGAAAACUGUUUAGAUGGGCAUUGUCUAACUGGUUCCUGCUUGUUGGAAAUUAUUUUUACUCUAUGUGGUUAAUUGGGCACCAUGAAAGGACUUUGCCCAAUUAGCAUACGAAUGGAGAUGUGAAAUAAUGG
rnacentral:misc_RNA from 1 species